GUGGGGAAUAUUGCGCAAUGGGCGAAAGCCUGACGCAGCGACGCCGCGUGAGGGAUGAAGGUUUUCGGAUCGUAAACCUCUGUCAGAAGGGAAGAAACUACAUUGUGCUAAUCAGCAGUGUACUGACGGUACCUUCAAAGGAAGCACCGGCUAACUCCGUGCCAGCAGCCGCGGUAAUACGGAGGGUGCAAGCGUUAAUCGGAAUUACUGGGCGUAAAGCGCACGUAGGCUGUAGUGUAAGUCAGGGGUGAAAUCCCACGGCUCAACCGUGGAACUGCCUUUGAUACUGCACAACUUGAAUCCGGGAGAGGGUGGCGGAAUUCCAGGUGUAGGAGUGAAAUCCGUAGAUAUCUGGAGGAACACCGGUGGCGAAGGCGGCCACCUGGACAGGUACUGACGCUGAGGCGCGAAAGCGUGGGGAGCAAACAGGAUUAGAAACCCUUGUAGUCC
rnacentral:rRNA from 1 species